CCCUCAGGAUAGUAGACCAAGAUCCACAUCGGCUUUCGAAGUACCAACCAUGCAUCCGUCAGCCUCUCGCCGUCACGCCGCCAAGCAUCGUCGCUACCUGUGCUGCCCCACGGAACCAGAACGAUCGAGGGUUUCGAGCAGAAACUGCAGAUUCUAUUCAAUUGUUCUGUUGUUGCCAACUACCUCGAUCCAGUGUGUUGGUCCAUGAGGUGACUCUGGUGGCGGCGCCAUAACCCGGCUGGAGACGGCAGCGGCGACACGUUCUUCUCUCCUCCUGUCGGCGCGAGCAGUUCGUCCCCAUAGUCGGACCAGAUCAAACGCUUCUUGCAACAUCAAUAUCUUGCAAUCCUCCCAACGGCAGUGGUAGCGGAUUGACCUGGUCUCAACGGCAGCAACAUCACAACGACCCAGUAUGCUCUUCCACCUCUCCCUCUCUUUAAUUUUUUACUAGGAUUCUUAUUAUUCUGUGUGUCUGCAUCUGCGUGCCAUUUAGGAUUCUUGUCUAUCUAGAUCUUGGUAUAUAACUGCAGCAACUCAUAAGUCUGGGAGGCCAAGAAAGAAGACAUAGGUACAGAAGAAGAGGCUUUAUUAUAAAUAUUUUCUAAGACCAGCUGCAGUCUGAAUGAGACUAUUGAGGGCCUUAUUCUGCACCGCCACUUCACUAGGGAAUACAGUCAUCAUCGACAUAGUUUCACUUGGAGAAAACUGUCUGACACUUUAGUAUCAUAGCCACCAAGGUAAAUGGUCAAGUCUUGUGUUCUCAUUGACCUGACUAUUCAAUCAGAGAGUGUUUUGUUGGCGAUUUAUAGCGAACCAAAAGAAAGAAGACAACAAAUAUGUGUUGGGUUAUCUUGUUAACCUCACCAUACAAUUCCUUGUGGGUGGUCUUCGUUAAAUUGAAAAGACUUUGGUAGUUAAUUCAUGCCAUUGGUGGUGAUGGCAGUCCAACGAAGUGCAAUAUGUACAAGUACAAUUGAGCCAAAAAGGAAACUGGAUGCCAUCUGUACUAAAGCUAGAUGUCUCAUACUGUAUAUAAAACCGCCUCGGUGUUUUCUUCCUUGAUUCGAUUUUUUCUUUCUCUACUUCAUUGAUAAAAUAAAGAGAUAGAUUUCACCCUUCUUUUAUUGCCAUUUUCACUCUGUUUUUUUACUGUGAAGUUGGCCGGGCAUGUAAAUAUGAAUCGCCACAUAAAAAGAUCAGCGGCAUCUCAUAUUCUCGUUUAAGUGAUGUACGUGUUCCAGACUAUUUUUCAAGUUUCAGGUCAGAGUCUCUACUCUAAACCAUAGUCACCGUGGAUAUGUAAGAGUGUGCAAGAUUUUUGCGAGUGUUUUUUUUUUUUGAUAUCACACAAAUUGGUGGGUAAAUGAAAUAUAUAACACUGGUUCUAUAAUCCUUUUUUAUGAUUCUCUUUCGUUUCUUUUAUUAAAUAUCUUAUUAUUAUUCUGUGUACAUAUUUUAAUAGGAUGCCAAACAUCCCAGAGUUUAUCUAUAUUGUGUAUUCCGCCGGAUCUCCAAGAAAUUGUGACAUGUGUGCAGAACAUAGAUGCUUCGAUUUUAUCAUAUACACAAUAUGUUAUACCUAUUACUGAUCCUUCCUUGACAAAAAUAUUUGAGGUAUGAUAUAGUUUCCUAUUACUGAUUCGACGGCGCGGAGCAGUGGCAGCGGUAACAUCUGUUGACCGAUUUGGAGGGGAGCAGAAUAACAGUGAGCAGCAAAGUGUGGACUGGUUCAACAUCAGCCAACAUAAUCGCCCCAACAUCAGCCAGACCGACUGGUUUGAGCUCCUUCCAUGCCUCCCUAACUAUCUUUGCAAGCAGUUGAGUUGGCUUGAACUUUCCUGUACAACUGAAGGUCCUUCUCGAGCGUGUGCAGCUUGAUGUAACAUCAUGCAGUUUGCGAUGGGGAAUCAGUGUUUAGUAGGAACAACUUAGUGCAUAUGUAUUUUGUGUGUACUGACCUGAUGCAAAUAUAUUCAUGUGUAAUGCCAGACAAGGUACAAAGGUAAUGUAGAUUCUGUGUAAUGAUUCGAUUUUCAAACAAUAUUGUGUGCCCUUAGAAAAUUGGAUAUUCGCUAAGUUUGUAAUGACAAGUAAUGUAUCUAAAGUGUACAUUAUCAUA